ACCCUAAUUGGCAGAGAGAGAAUCAAUCGAAUCAAGAGUAUUAAAUGGAAAAAGCGAAUCAAGACCCCACAAGGGAAAACAAUCCUUAAAGCAGACUUGAGAUCGAUCAUACCCAAAUUAUGGAUUCAUAUAUUGUUAACGUAUCGAUUACUGAAAAGAUGUAUACCAAAUCUGUUCACUUUUUCUCUAUAGACUCGAUGGAUGAUUGAGAUUUGAAGCAACAAAAUACCCAGAAGAUUAAACAUGGAAAAGCAUCAAACUUUGAUGAUCUUAGAACGAUGAC